UGUAGGCACUGCAGAGCGUGAGGAUGGGGAAGAAAAGAGCUCACGAGCUAUCAUCUCCUGCACCGCACAGUGCCGCAACAGGAGCCAGCGGCAGCAAGCAACCAAAAAGGUGUGAGAUUCUCUUUGUCAUGGAAGUUUGCGAGUGGAAGGGGCCACAGGCGUCACCAAGAACGAGAUAAGGGACACGCUGAAUCAUCCAGGAGCAGUAGCUUGGCACGGAAAAAAGGCAUUCCCUUCUUGAGCUUGCCUGGUCCACUGAGGGUUACUUCUCGUGUCUCGUUAUGGGGAAUCAGGCGCUUUUGCACCGGAGGAGGUGGCUGUUGCAAGGGAGGAUGAUGAAGCCUUUGAUGUGGAGCAUAAGGUAACACUUGCUGCUGUAUCCGAAGAGGAGGAUGAGCUCACUGAUUCAGCCGGUGCAGGUUGCUAAUGAUUUGGAGCUGCAGAUGGCCUUCGGUCUGGCUGAUUCUGCUGGCGGGCAACAGGGGCAGCAGCUCUACGACAUCCCUCUUUACGGUGUCCAAUUCUCCUACAGACUUCACAAUAAUCAGGGACCAUUUCAUAGUAUAUUUUGAACUCUAUUUGUACUUCCGUGGGCAGCGUAAUUGGGACCUCAUGGACCCUUUCACCGACAACCGGAACUUCAAUCAUAAGACGAGCAUACUCCAAUAUUCCCUUGUCCUUGUUAUUUUGUCCGUGUACAUGGUAUUCCAACCUCCGAUCC